GACGAACGCUGGCGGCGUGCCUAAUACAUGCAAGUCGAACGCACGAAGUUGAAGAGCUUGCUCUUUAACCAAGUGAGUGGCGGACGGGUGAGUAACACGUGGGUAACCUGCCCAUUAGAGGGGGAUAACAUUCGGAAACGGAUGCUAAUACCGCAUAGUUUCAGGAAUCGCAUGAUUCUUGAAGGAAAGGUGGCUUCGGCUACCACUAAUGGAUGGACCCGCGGCGUAUUAGCUAGUUGGUGAGGUAAUGGCUCACCAAGGCAAUGAUGCGUAGCCGACCUGAGAGGGUGAUCGGCCACACUGGGACUGAGACACGGCCCAGACUCCUACGGGAGGCAGCAGUAGGGAAUCUUCCGCAAUGGACGAAAGUCUGACGGAGCAACGCCGCGUGAGUGAAGAAGGUUUUCGGAUCGUAAAACUCUGUUGUUAAAGAAGAACAAGGAUGAGAGUAACUGCUCAUCCCCUGACGGUAUUUAACCAGAAAGCCACGGCUAACUACGUGCCAGCAGCCGCGGUAAUACGUAGGUGGCAAGCGUUGUCCGGAUUUAUUGGGCGUAAAGCGAGCGCAGGCGGUUCUUUAAGUCUGAUGUGAAAGCCCCCGGCUCAACCGGGGAGGGUCAUUGGAAACUGGCGAACUUGAGUGCAGAAGAGGAGAGUGGAAUUCCACGUGUAGCGGUGAAAUGCGUAGAUAUGUGGAGGAACACCAGUGGCGAAGGCGACUCUCUGGUCUGUAACUGACGCUGAGGCUCGAAAGCGUGGGGAGCAAACAGG
rnacentral:rRNA from 1 species